AAGGUUUUAAGUUAAUUAAUUAAAACUAUUAAUCUUCAAAAUUAAAAAUAUCUUAUUUUAAACCUUA
rnacentral:tRNA from 1 species